ACAUCACUGUCCUGCUGCUCCUCAUCUCUGGUUUGCUCCACAAUCUCCCACCUGGUUAAUUGGUUCUGCGACAGUGUGUGUGGAUGUGAAGAUGGAGCUGACUUUGCUCUGUGUACUGUCAUUAUUCUUGCUAAAUACGAACAUCUACAGAAAUGAUGCUGGUG